CGGAAAGCCUGACGCAGCGACGCCGCGUGAGGGAUGAAGCUUCUCGGAGUGUAAACCUCUUUCGACCCGGACGAAUGCCCGCAAGGGCUUGACGGUACGGGGAGAAGAAGCCCCGGCUAACUACGUGCCAGCAGCCGCGGUAAAACGUAGGGGGCCAGCGUUGCUCGGAAUUACUGGGCGUAAAGGGUCUGUAGGCGGUGCGGUAAGUCCGGAGUGAAAUCUCCAGGCUCAACUUGGAGGCUGCUUUGGAAACUGCCGUGCUCGAGUGCGGGAGAGGCGAGCGGAAUUGCAGGUGUAGCGGUGAAAUGCGUAGAUAUCUGCAGGAACACCAGUGGCGAAGGCGGCUCGCUGGACCGCAACUGACGCUGAGAGACGAAAGCUAGGGGAGCAAACAGGAUUAGAUACCCUGGUAGUCCUAGCCCUAAACCAUCAGGACUUGGCGUGGGCCCCGUCCGGGGUCCGUGUCGUAGCCAACGUGAUAAGUCCUGCGCCUGGGGAGUACGGUCGCAAGGCUG
rnacentral:rRNA from 1 species